rnacentral:rRNA from 1 species
UACGAAGGGGGCUAGCGUUGUUCGGAAUUACUGGGCGUAAAGCGCACGUAGGCGGGUGGUUAAGUCAGGGGUGAAAUCCCGGAGCUCAACUCCGGAACUGCCUUCGAUACUGGGAAGCUCGAGUCCGGGAGAGGUGAGUGGAACUGCGAGUGUAGAGGUGAAAUUCGUAGAUAUUCGCAAGAACACCAGUGGCGAAGGCGGCUCACUGGCCCGGUACUGACGCUGAGGUGCGAAAGCGUGGGGAGCAAACAGG